GAUGAAGAACGUAGCGAAAUGCGAUAAGUAAUGUGAAUUGCAGAAUUCAGUGAAUCAUCGAAUCUUUGAACGCACAUUGCGCCCGUCAGUAUUCUGGCGGGCAUGCCUGUUCGAGCGUCAUUACGCCCCUCAAGUCCCCUGUGGACUUGGUGUUGGUGAUCGGCGAGGCUGGUUUUCCAGCACAGCCGUCCCUUAAAUUAAUUGGCGGUCUCGCCGUGGCCCUCCUCUGCGCAGUAGUAAAACACUCGCAACAGGAGCCCGGCGCGGUCCACUGCCGUAAAACCCCCCAACUUUUUAUAGUUGACCUCGAAUCAGGUAGGACUACCCGCUGAACUUAAGCAUAUCAAUAAGCGGAGGA
rnacentral:misc_RNA from 1 species